GGGGGUGAAAGGGUUCGACUUAAGCUAUGUCACUUAAGAGCAGCAUGCCGCGGACGCAUGGUUAGCCGCGUUAAUAACCCGUGCAAAAUCUAAACGCAAACACGCAAGUGUCACGUUUAAGAACAUUUGAUUCGACCUUUGGGACAAGAGUUGUUCCGUCCUUUGGGGUAAAAUCAAUGUUCUUUAUACCAGCCUUCUCGCCACAAUAGCGGGAAGCCUCUAACCGUCCAGCCUACGGGAUGGAUUAGGGCCUUAGUAGGAUAGUUCCGGCGGUUAGCCUUCCAAACCGGGGCGAAAUCGAAAAGGCUGCGCUUUGCAAAUCCUGCCGGGUAGGAGUUGCAGGGCUAAGUGUAAAAUAUCAGGCUAAGCAUGUAGCGGCUUUUAUCCGAUUACUUAAGGACGGCGGUUCAAUCCGCCCACCUCCACCA
rnacentral:tmRNA from 1 species